AUAACAAGGAAAGGAGGAAAAAUGAAUAUCUUUAUGCUGGAGAAACCUGACCUAUGCUAUCUCAGCCAGGAUGCUUUUAAGCAGAAUGGCAGCAGCACCCGAGAAGGACCACCUCCUCCAGUGACCUUCCCGCCAAAGGAGCUCAGAGGGGAGGAUGCAAAUAGAGCUGAUAUCUGGAAUACAAAUGAAUAUAA